rnacentral:rRNA from 1 species
AGAAUCAACGCUGGCGGCGUGCCUAACACAUGCAAGUCGAACGAGAAAGUGGAGCAAUCCAUGAGUAAAGUGGCGACCGGGUGAGUAACACGUGACCAAUCUACCCUUGAGUGGGGGAUAACCUCGGGAAACCGGGGCUAAUACCGCAUAAUAUCCUUGGAACGGAAGUACUGGGGAUCAAAGGAGCAAUUCGCUUAAGGAGGAGGUCGCGGCUGAUUAGCUAGUUGGCGGGGUAAUGGCCCACCAAGGCUUAGAUCGGUA